CAGUCGCCGCGGUAAUACGUAGGGUCCGAGCGUUGUCCGGAAUUAUUUGGCGUAAAGAGCUCGUAGGCGGUCUGUCGCGUCUGCCGUGAAAUCCUCAGGCUCAACCUGAGGCGUGCGGUGGGUACGGGCAGGCUAGAGUGCGGUAGGGGAGAAUGGAACUCCUGGUGUAGCGGUGGAAUGCGCAGAUAUCAGGAAGAACACCGAUGGCGAAGGCAGUUCUCUGGGCCGUAACUGACGCUGAGGAGCGAAAGCGUGGGGAGCGAACAGGAUUAGAUACCCCAGUAGUCCCUGUCUCUUAUAC
rnacentral:rRNA from 1 species